rnacentral:tRNA from 1 species
GACUGGAUAGCAUAGUGGUCAAAGGCAGUGCUUCUAGCACAGUUAGGGGAUAUAAACCUAAACCCGGGUGGAACCCGGGUUUGUUUUUGCCAGAAACCCAGAAUCCCAAGUCAGACUUGCGUUUCUGGAAUUCUGGCAAAAUCUGCUUAACCCCCAGCUCCUGACAACCAAAGUAUUCAAACCACCGGGAGUUUUUCCAGAAUCCCAAAAUCCCAACUACAGCCAAAAAGAAGUAUGGGAUUCUGUCAGAAAAAGUCCCGGGUUCAACCCGGGUUUAGGUUUGUAUCCCCUAAGUGUCUCAGCUUAUGAUGAAGUCCCAGGUUUGAAUCCUGGUCUAGUCA